AACAAUCCUUCUACAGUGGUUGUACCAGCCUCUACCAUGAUCUACAAUAGAAAUAUUCUGUAGGGUCUUAUGUUCAGGGGAGGUACUAUUGAAGUCAUGUGGGGAUGCAUGCUAAAGAAAAGCAUCAUUUAAGACAGGGCAUAACAUACUGUCGUACAGUUUCCCUCUUUGUUCUACAAAGACUGCACUUCCAGAGCAUAAUACAUACUACAAUAACUUUAUUUUAAAAUGUUAUUUCUGUAUUUUGAGGUGUUCCUUGCUACAAUUUCAGGUAUCUUUUGUCAAGAACUCACUCCACUCAAGAAGGAAGUGAAGAGUUUAGAGGGUGACACCGUUACUCUGUCCUACAGCUACUCCAAAACUGUUACAGGCAUAUUCUGUCAAGACCUCACUCCAGUGAAGAAUGAAGUGAACAGUGUACAGGGUAACACUGUUACUUUGUCCUACAGCUACCCAAAAACUGUUAAAGCUAGUGAUGAAAUCUACUGGUAUCAACAAGAUCAUGGAAAACCACCAGGAUUCCUUGUGUCAGUCUUAGGAUUUGAGUCCUCAAAUAAAACUAGCAACCUCAACAAUCGAAUAUCUGCUAACCUAAACGGAGGGAAAGACCGCCUGAAUCUGAUCAUCUCCUCUGCUGAAGUGACAGACUCUGCUCUAUACUACUGUGCUGUGAGGCCCACAGUGACAGGAAACACAGACACACUGUACAAAAACUACAGCAACUGAAGAACUUCACAAUUCUUAUUCUGUACUUUUAUAUUACUCUCCACCCACAUAAUUAAUGAAUAAGUAAAUACAAUUUAUGAUUCAAAUGUUUCUAUUUGUGUUCUCCCAAUGUGUCUUCUACCUUUUAUUGCGCUCAGGAACAUAAGAAGACAUUUGAUUUGAGUUUUAAUAGGUUUGCUGGUUAUGUAUUUAAAUAAACUGCUCCAGUUGCAGUGGCCGUAAGCACACAAUUUCCCCAAAAAUUUGACUUUCCAUUGGCAGAUCUAAAGUGAGGUUGGCAGGGCAAUUUCCAGGCAGACACAGCCAGGAUGGGUAAGGCAGAUGCAAGUGUUGUCUCCCAUUACAAGUGUUACUUUUGUCUGGCCUGUGUCUCCAGGAUCACCCUGCUCACCUACUGACACAGGACAGACAAAAGUUAGCGAAACAAAAACACUUGUAAUACUCUGAGUUUGAACUAGUGCAACUGAAAGUGUAGAAACAGCAAUCUCUGCGAUGAAUUACAGGAAAACCAGGCGGGUCUGAUGAGCUGAUGGGAGACAGGGUUAGAGACCGGGGGAAUGUGGAGUGAUGUCAUCAGGGCUAGAGAGCGGAGCCACACCCACCACAAGCACACACAGUAAAACAAAUGGAGAAAGACGGAAACAAGGUGAAGGGCAUGACAAUAAUAUGACAGGAAUAUUAUUAUUGGCAUUAUUCAAACUACAACUUUACAAUAAUUGAUGGUACCAUCAGGUCACACCAUCUCUGCCACCCCAUUGUUACCCCAGGUGAAAAGAAAAGCUUCAACAUUUUCACAGGUCACAAUCUUCUAAAAAAUUGGCACACAGGAUCCUUGUUUACUAUUGUACGUCCUUGUUUACUAUUGUGUGUUUACAAAUAAUAAAA